GAUGAAGAACGUAGCAAAAUGCGAUACUUGGUGUGAAUUGCAGAAUCCCGUGAACCAUCGAGUUUUUGAACGCAAGUUGCGCCCGAAGCCUUUUGGCCGAGGGCACGUCUGCCUGGGCGUCACGCAUCGCGUCGCCCCCCACAAUUCUCCGUAAAGGGAACAUGUGUUUUGGGGGCGGAUAUUGGUCUCCCGUGCUCAUGGCGUGGUUGGCCGAAAUAGGAGUCCUUUCGAUGGACGCACGAACUAGUGGUGGUCGUAAAAACCCUCGUCUUUUGUUUCGUGCUGUUGCUCGCAAGGUAAACUCUUUAAAAACCCCAAUGUGUCGGCUCUUGACGACGCUUCGACCGCGACCCCAGGUCAGGCGGGACUACCCGCUGAGUUUAAGCAUAUCAAUAAGCGGAGGA
rnacentral:misc_RNA from 1 species